UAGCAGCAUAGGAGGAUGAAGCUGGACUUUGAAAGGAAGAGGAUGCAGGACUAGGGUUGUAGGAAGCACAAGGACUUGGUUGGUAAGAGGAGCAUGGGCUUGCUGUGGCAGAACCACCCAUGAUAUCCAUGCGCCACCCCUUACGGUAGGGGGAGCCAUCGGGCUCAACGGUCCAACCAGCCUCAUUGCAGAGUGCUUUGAGGACCUCGUUGUUGUCACAGUG
rnacentral:misc_RNA from 1 species